AGAAACACGCUUCAGGGUGAUCCCAAUUCCAUGACCGAAUUGGAUUCUCUUGAAAAUAAAAAUGCUACUUGUCAGGAUUUUGUGAGUCAGCUAAAUGAAUCCCUGGCGGUUUGGGGUGGCAGACUACCUGUUGACGCAAGGGUGGUGUAUUCAAGAAUGGCAAGCGAGAUAUGAGAUUUACUGCUAUCAUCUGUUGGUGAGGGUGCAACCCGUGAUGAGCAAUUUAACUGCUUUGACACUGCUUUCAGUGCUCCCAUUCCAGAAGACCAGCGCUCUGGUCACUUGCAGGAUGCAGUAUAUCUUUUUACCAGCUACCUCUUAGAGAUAUCUAAUUAAUUUAACAAUUUUACCAUUUACUCUCAGAUAUAAAGUCCAAUAGAAAAUAGAACAUCGAUGUGUUUGUAAGGCAGGAUUUUUAUCUGCAUAUUAUUCACGAGAUUUGUGCGUUUUUUUUUAAUUUAUCUCGGUCUUGUAUGAUUGAUAAGCAUGAGAUGCCGCUAAAUAACAUUCAUUAAUUUUGUUUGUA